CAGUAUAUUACUUACUGUAUUGAUUUUGACGGAAAAGGAUAUACAUAGAUAGACUUCCUGCUUCUUUCAUAACAUCAAAUCCAUUUUCUUGAAUAUGCUUCAAAUCAAAAUACAAACACAACAACCAACAACUUUAUUCAACCUUAUUCUCUAAUUCAAAUUAACAUCUACCACCCAUCUCCUGCUUCAGAUCGAAGGACGGUGGUAUAACGGCGGUGUGCGGUUUUAGAGGUCACGGUUGUGGUGAUUUCGGUGACGAAGAAGGUGAUUACUGCAUCUUUCAGCGAUGAUGAAGGAGAGGCGUUUGCGGAUGGAAUGGGUGAACGACGCGAAGGUGCACGACAGAGGGCUUGGAUCGCCGGCGAGGAGGUUCUCGCGGAGGUCGGAAGCGUGGUUCAAAGGGGUUAUCAUGGAAGUUAAGUGAGGACUUAUAUCGACUCCUUCAACUUCAUAAGAGCAUAGUAAAGCUAAGCAAUUUGUUUGUUCCUAUACAUGAGAAAAUAUUGGAUAUCGAUAUCUAGAGACAUACCCAAAGGAAUUCUAGAUUCCGAUGAACUUGUAGGAUCGAGGUGAAUGUUGCUCUUCCAAUUCCGCUUCCACUUCUUUUCACCUUUUUCAGUAGUCUCUAAAAUUGCUUGUGCGUUUUCCUUUAUUGCAGCCAUGAGUCAGUGUUGGUGUUGACGGUCACUUUCCGGUGAUUUUUUGCAGCAGGGAAACUUCUUCUCUUCUUUCUUCUUCUAAUUUUAAUUUUUAUUAUUGAAUUGCUGUUGUAGAUUUUUAUUGAAUAUUUGUUUGCUGCUUCUAGUUGAUGAUAUAGCUUAUUUCUCAUGUUAUAAUUAUCCAUAGUUAAAACAAAACAAACUUUAGGAUUACAAAGUUUAUAAUUUGUAUUAUAGAAUGUGUAAAAAAUGGAUUUUUAUCUUUUACAUCGAUUGAUAAAAUUACUAUUGUGUA